GACUGUUCAUGCAGUCAUGGAAGGAUGCAGAACUAGGAGGGAGAAAAGUGGAAGAAACAGCGGCACUUUCCCAUGGAACAGAGUGAGCCACUGAACAGGAAAGGACAGACAGG